rnacentral:rRNA from 1 species
GAUGAACGCUGGCGGCGUGCCUAAUACAUGCAAGUCGAGCGAACAGACGAGGAGCUUGCUCCUCUGACGUUAGCGGCGGACGGGUGAGUAACACGUGGAUAACCUACCUAUAAGACUGGGAUAACUUCGGGAAACCGGAGCUAAUACCGGAUAAUAUAUUGAACCGCAUGGUUCAAUAGUUAAAGACGGUUUUGCUGUCACUUAUAGAUGUAUCCGCGCCGCAUUAGCUAGUUGGUAAGGUAACGGCUUACCAAGGCAACGAUGCGUAGCCGACCUGAGAGGGUGAUCGGCCACACUGGAACUGAGACACGGUCCAGACUCCUACGGGAGGCAGCAGUAGGGAAUCUUCCGCAAUGGGCGAAAGCCUGACGGAGCAACGCCGCGUGAGUGAUGAAGGUCUUCGGAUCGUAAAACUCUGUUAUUAGGGAAGAACAAAUGUGUAAGUAACUAUGCACGUCUUGACGGUACCUAAUCAGAAAGCCACGGCUAACUACGUG